AAAUUGAAGAGUUUGAUCAUGGCUCAGAUUGAACGCUGGCGGCAGGCCUAACACAUGCAAGUCGAACGGUAACAGAAAGCAGCUUGCUGCUUUGCUGACGAGUGGCGGACGGGUGAGUAAUGUCUGGGAAACUGCCUGAUGGAGGGGGAUAACUACUGGAAACGGUAGCUAAUACCGCAUAAUGUCGCAAGACCAAAGAGGGGGACCUUCGGGCCUCUUGCCAUCGGAUGUGCCCAGGUGGGAUUAGCUAGUAGGUGGGGUAACGGCUCACCUAGGCGACGAUCCCUAGCUGGUCUGAGAGGAUGACCAGCCACACUGGAACUGAGACACGGUCCAGACUCCUACGGGAGGCAGCAGUGGGGAAU
rnacentral:rRNA from 1 species